UCCCUGGUGAACUAGUAGCUAGCAUGCAGUGCUCUCACUACUGGGGCCAGGGUUCGAUUCCUGGUCAGGGAA